CAUGCCAUCUUCCAAGUACACAAUGAAGAAGACCAAUUCAUCAGGCUAUCUCCUUCUGUUGGUCUUCUUGGUGCUUAUGGCUGUUAGAACUCUUUCCAUUCGAUAUCCUGCACAGGCCUUCCUGGAGGAGAGUGUUUACAAAGGGAGGACCGACGCUAUCUCCAACAAAAAUGCCGUCGUAUUAAGAGGUGGGGGGGUUUCUCCCCCUUCUCCGGCUCAUAAUAUCCAGAGAGGGCCACAGACUCCUGCACCGUGAACUGAGCUCCUUGUAUUCUCUGUUCUUCAUUCUGCAUGAUGUUUGCAAACUAUGUCAUAUAAAUCUGUGUAUAAGACUCUCUGUAAUGUCUCAACGUGUUGUUAUGAAAUUUGCGAUAGCCAUAAUCA